UACAGAGGUCUCAAGCGUUGUUCGGAAUCACUGGGCGUAAGGGGUGCGUAGGCGGCGGGGAAAGUCAGAUGUGAAAUCCGGAGGCUCAACCUCCGAAUUGCAUCCGAUACUCCCUCGCUAGAGAUUUGUAGAGGAGCUUGGAAUUCUCGGUGUAGCAGUGAAAUGCGUAGAUAUCGAGAAGAACGCUCGCAGCGAAAGCGAAGCUCUGGGCAAAUUCUGACGCUGAUGCACGAAGGCUAGGGGAGCAAACGGG
rnacentral:rRNA from 1 species